AAAGACCUUAUGCUUUUGGAGCGGCCGAUGUCUGAUUAGCUAGUUGGUAAGGUAAUGGCUUACCAAGGCGACGAUCAGUAGUUGGUCUGAGAGGACGGCCAGCCACACUGGGACUGAGACACGGCCCAGACUCCUACGGGAGGCAGCAGUGGGGAAUUUUGGACAAUGGGCGCAAGCCUGAUCCAGCAAUGCCGCGUGAGUGAAGAAGCCCUUCGGGUUGUAAAGCUCUUUCAGUUGAAAAGAAAAGGUUGUGACUAAUAAUCAUGACUCAUGACGGUAUCAACAGAAGAAGCACCGGCUAACUACGUGCCAGCAGCCGCGGUAAUACGUAGGGUGCAAGCGUUAAUCGGAAUUACUGGGCGUAAAGGGUGCGCAGGCGGUUCUGUAAGUCAGAUGUGAAAUCCCCGGGCUUAACCUGGGAACU
rnacentral:rRNA from 1 species